rnacentral:rRNA from 1 species
GGGUGCUAACUGCAGUGACGGCGCGCGAGUAGUUUACUCACUUGGCUGCGAGCGGCGGACGGCUGAGUAACGCGUGGGAGCGUGCCCCAAAGUGAGGAAUAACUGCCCGAAAGGGUAGCUAAUGCCGCAUAUGAUCUUCGGAUUAAAGGAUUUAUCCGCUUUGGGAGCGGCCCGCGUCGGAUUAGGUAGUUGGUGAGGUAAAGGCUCACCAAGCCGACGAUCCGUAGCUGGUCUGAGAGGAUGACCAGCCAGACUGGAACUGAGACACGGUCCAGACUCCUACGGGAGGCAGCAGUGAGGAAUCUUCCACAAUGGGCGAAAGCCUGAUGGAGCAACGCCGCGUGCAGGAUGAAGGCCUUCGGGUUGUAAACUGCUUUUAUUAGUGAAGAAUAUGACGGUAGCUAAUGAAUAAGGAUCGGCUAACUACGUGCCCAGCAGCCGCGGUCAUACGUAGGAUCCGAGCGUUAUCCGGAGUGACUGGGCGUAAAGAGUUGCGUAGGUGGUUUGUAAAGCGAAUAGUGAAAUCUGGUGGCUCAACCAUACAGGCUAUUAUUCGAACUCACAAACUCGAGAGUGGUAGAGGUUACUGGAAUUUCUAGUGUAGGAGUGAAAUCCGUAGAUAUUAGAAGGAACACCAAUGGCGUAGGCAGGUAACUGGACCAUUUCUGACACUAAGGCACGAAAGCGUGGGGGAGCGAACCGGAUUAGAUACCCGGGUAGUCCACGCCGUAAACGAUGGAUACUAGCUGUUGGAGGUAUCGACCCCUUCAGUAGCGAAGCUAACGCGCUAAGUAUCCCGCCUGUGGAGUACGGUCGCAAGACUAAAACAUAAAGGGAAUUGACGGGGACCCGCACAAGUAGUGGAUCGUGUUCUUAAUUCGAUGGCUAAACGAAGACCUUACCAGGCUGACAUCCUGAAUUUCUCGAAACAGUAUUCAUUUGAGCCAGUACAGUUGCUUUCACUCGUCUUGA